AGGGACUUGGACCCCGAGGACCCCCUGGAGGACUCUGGAUGCGCCGUUGGGGGCCACGUCCAUAUCAGAACGGACUCCUCUGAACCACAGGACUGUUGUGCCCAAGAUUGCGAAUCCGAGAAACCACCAAGAAGCCCACACCGAAGCAAACACACAAUGGUUUAUUUAUAAGCUCGAGCUGGUGUCCGAGUAUACCCGACACAGCGGAGCAGGGACUUGGACCCCGAGAGGAAGAAUUCAGGGAUUCACCAGUUGGAGAUAACAGCAGUGCUCAUGACAUCACAUGCCCUCCUUCAUGCCGGUCUCCUGUUAACCCACCC